GACGAACGCUGGCGGCGUGCCUAAUACAUGCAAGUAGAACGCUGAAGAGAGGAGCUUGCUCUUCUUGGAUGAGUUGCGAACGGGUGAGUAACGCGUAGGUAACCUGCCUGGUAGCGGGGGAUAACUAUUGGAAACGAUAGCUAAUACCGCAUAAAAUGGAUUAUCGCAUGAUAAUCCAUUGGAAGGUGCAAAUGCAUCACUACCAGAUGGACCUGCGUUGUAUUAGCUAGUUGGUGGGGUAACGGCUCACCAAGGCGACGAUACAUAGCCGACCUGAGAGGGUGAUCGGCCACACUGGGACUGAGACACGGCCCAGACUCCUACGGGAGGCAGCAGUAGGGAAUCUUCGGCAAUGGACGGAAGUCUGACCGAGCAACGCCGCGUGAGUGAAGAAGGUUUUCGGAUCGUAAAGCUCUGUUGUAAGAGAAGAACGAGUGUGAGAGUGGAAAGUUCACACUGUGACGGUAUCUUACCAGAAAGGGACGGCUAACUACGU
rnacentral:rRNA from 1 species